rnacentral:rRNA from 1 species
AGUGAACGCUGGCGGUAGGCCUAACACAUGCAAGUCGAACGGCAGCACAGUAAGAGCUUGCUCUUACGGGUGGCGAGUGGCGGACGGGUGAGGAAUACAUCGGAAUCUACUUUUUCGUGGGGGAUAACGUAGGGAAACUUACGCCAAUACCGCAUACGACCUACGGGUGAAAGCAGGGGAUCUUCGGACCUUGCGCGAUUGAAUGAGCCGAUGUCGGAUUAGCUAGUUGGCGGGGUAAAGGCCCACCAAGGCGACGAUCCGUAGCUGGUCUGAGAGGAUGAUCAGCCACACUGGAACUGAGACACGGUCCAGACUCCUACGGGAGGCAGCAGUGGGGAAUAUUGGACAAUGGGCGCAAGCCUGAUCCAGCCACACCGCGUGGGUGAAGAAGGCCUUCGGGUUGUAAAGCCCUUUUGUUGGGAAAGAAAAGCAGCAGGUUAAUACCCCGCUGUUCUGACGGUACCCAAAGAAUAAGCACCGGCUAACUUCGUG